rnacentral:pre_miRNA from 1 species
GUUAGUUUUGGGCGGGUUUUAGUGUAUUUCGAUUAGAGUAUCAAUUGAAACCGUCCAAAACUGAGGC